GCUAAAAAACCGAGGUUCCACUGCAAUUCAAUUUUACUAGCAAACCAGAGGUUAAAUGAACCUCUUUUAAGCCCCAGGGGAAGUAUGGGGAGUGUUUGUGUGACACACCUACACAAUGCAGCCAACACACUAAUGUGUUGCGACACAGAGUUUGGAAAGCUCUGUUUUUGUUGGUCUUGCUGAUGUCAUAGUGCCUUCUUUCCUUCUCUCUCUGCCCUACUCUUCUAUAUCCUUAUUCAGCUCUUGUUUCCUCCUCUUCCUUCCUCACCUUCUUAUUUGUAGCCUGCUGCCCCAUCCAAGGACCCUCAUCCUCAGCAUCUCUUUCUCUUCCUUCUCGACUUCCAGCUGUUUUCCAACUGUUUUCAGCAGCUGCAGUCAAACCAGGAAAUUCCACCAUGCAUGGAAGAUGGUGAGUAGAUUCAAGCACUGCUGCUCCACUCCACAAGCAAAUAUUAGUGAGGAAAAUCUUUUGGAUAAUAUUUCGGGGUUCCCCAAAUGCCCCCUUUUAACACUAAAUAUGUUUGCGCAUAAAAAGCCAGCUCCACUUCAUAGUUAACUCCUCAACAUUAUCAAGAAUUAGAAAAUAUAUACCUAAUUGUACACAUCUAAAACCACCUGUGUUUCAGGUUUGGUUAUUUAUUAUGCAAUGAUGCCAAAUAUCAAUGUAUACGUUUCUAGGGUUGCCAAUCAUCUGGAUUUUCCAUUUUUCUGGUUUUUAGGGGUAAAAAUUUCUGUUCAUUUUGGGUUGGGGUUUUUGUUCUUGUUGUUGUUUUAGAAUAUGCAAAAAUGUCGGGGGGGGGGUUCUGUGGCACGGAAGAGGCUCAGAGCAGUCACUUUCCUUGCCAGCCGCAUCCCUCCCCAGUGCCCUCCAAUGUUGCUCUCUCUUUCUCUUGUGCACACCAGGUGUGUGAAAAGGAAGGGAUAGAAAGUGUAAAAACUCCCUGUAAGCCAACCUUCUCCAACCUGAUGCCCUUCAGAGUUGUUGAACUACAACUUGUCAUCCCAACUAGUGGCCAUGCUUAGGCUUGCCAUGUGUCCAGAAAAUUCCAGACAUGUCAGGAAAUCAGAUGCCUAAAAUUUUUGAAUUUUAAGAGAUCUCAGGAAUUUCCAGGAUUUAUGUCAACCUGAAUUUAUUUAUUUAUUUAUUUAUUGGUUGGUUGGUUGGUUGGUUGGUUUAUUUGGUUUUCUGGUCCCCACCCCCCAUUUUUUCAGGUUUUUAAAAAAUAAUAAAUUCUGGGAGAGGCUGCACCCCAGUGGCAGUGCAAGUGAUGAAAGGUCACUUCCCUUGGCCAGGGAGACGGGGAGAGAGUGAGGAAGCGGGGGAGGGAGAAAGGCAACUCAGCGGGGGGGGGGACUUAACAACGAAUGUUAUGGACGGGCAAAGGAGGUCGCUGGUCCCAACUGUGUGUGUGACAGUGCUUCAAGAGGAGAGGCACAGGGAGGGAGGAGCUGAGAGGAUGUAAACAUUGGCAUCACGUGAUCACAUUACAGUCAUGUUUCCUUCUCUUUCGGAUGCUGGGUUGUGUUGGGUGGGUCUCCGAGAGGCAGAACAAGGAGAGGCAACUCGGUGGCCAAUGGUUUCAUUGCAGCGGCCAUGGCACCAGCACAGUUAUCCCCUGUCCUGAUGCCUUGCCUUUGUUCCUUCCCUAAUAUUCCUCUCUCUUUUUCACAAACACACACCUAUGGCUACACAGCAGCCAACCGGAUUUCCAGGGGCAGGGAGUGGAGAGUGUAAAUGGUUGUGGUGCAGGAAAUCGUGGGCUUGCUGCUGUAAAAGCAAGGAGCAUAAGGGAGCAUUGAGUUUUUUAAACUGAGGCAGGUAAAAGAAACACCUCUUCCCAUCUGUGUGAAGGAAAUGUGAGCUUGCCAUUCCUAUUCCUUCAGCAGAAUGCUGGGAUCUCACUCUGGGGUUGUGUUGAAAUCUUCCACAUCUGUUUGGAAUAGUUUCCACAUGAGACAGCUGCAGAAGGAGCCAGAGGUUCUCAGUUGACCCUGGUUGUUCCUGACUAGGGACAGGCGUACCUGUCAAUUUUGGGUUUUCUUAGUUUCUCAAUUUCCAUUCUUAAAUUCAGUGCUCUACAUUUCCACAUCAGUUUGUUAUCUUUUCUAAAGUCCCCAUGAAAAAUCACCAACAUUGUUUGUAAGUAAUUUUGCCUAAUAUUCACAAUUUUGCAAAGCAACUUACCAUAAUAUAAUGCAGUUUUGUAUGUUAUUUUCAUUAAUAUAUGCAUUUUAUGCACACAUUACAUGCAUUUUUGAACACAUAACUUGGUUGAUUAACUGAAUUGAAAUACUAAGAAAAGUGUGAAUUCCAAAGGAUGGAUGUCUCUGUUUCGGAAAGUUCAUAUUAGAGAGGUUCACCUUUAAAUGCAAACUGAAUCAAAUUUCUCUUCCCCCACACCAUAAUACAGUGACCUGGCUUAUCCCACCAGCAUCAGGUAAGUAAUAGAGGCAGAGUUUGAUGUCCCACAUUCUUACAGCCUAAGGAAAAUUUCACAUAUGCAUGUUCAUUGCUCAGUGACUGGACAUUGUGCUGAUUUGCAUAUGUGAAAUAGUCGUCACAGAUCAAAUAAUCACAUAUCAAGCAAAACAGUUACAACUGUCACAUGAUUUCACCUCCUCAAAGUUAUUUCUCACUGUCUCUGAUGGAGAAAGUUCACACAUUCAGCUACAAGUCACAGAGUGAUGAGACAUUAAGGGCCAUGUUAAUGAAAAAUGUAUGUGCAUGUGCAAAUUUCUCCUGAGUUCAACAUUAGAUUUUUUGCAUGUAUAAGACAAAUGCAAAAGACAGAUGAGUGUGGAAGGACAACAGAUACAGAUAAAUCGUGUUCUAACUCCCCGACCUCUGUGGUCUAAACCACUGAGCCUCUUGGGCUUGCCGAUCAGAAGGUCGGCGGUUCAAAUCCCCAAAAUGGGGUGAGCUCCUGUUGCUCGGUCCCAGCUCCUUCCAACCCAGCAGUUCGAAAGCAUGCCAAAAAGUGCAAGUAAAUCAGUACCGCUGUGGUGGGAAGGUAAAUGGCGUUUCCGUGCGCUGCUCUGGUUUCAGUGUUCCAUUGCGCCAGAAGUGGCUUAAUCAUGCUGGCCACAUGCUGACCCAGAAAAACUGUCUGCAGACAAACGCUGGCUCCCUCGGCCAGUAAAGCAAGAUGAGUGCUGCAACCCCAGAGUCUUCUGCAACUGGACUUAACUGUCAGGGGUCCUUUACCUUUACCUUUUUACCAUUUUCUCCCCACCCAAGACAUCCUUUGGCACUGAUUGAUUGAACAUACAUACAUACAUACAUACAGGUUUCCUUAAAAGGCUCAAUAACUUUGCGGGUGUCAGGAAUUUUAAUUUUUUACUGGGACUGAUAGGAGCAACAUCUGACAGCAUCCCAUCAUCAAUUCAGCACCCUCCAGUAACUUCUCACCUCCAUGCUCAAGAAAAGCUCACUCAUAUCUUGUUCAACAAAGGUAACAAAUGGAGAAACAAUAAAGACUCUCCAUGAUGUGUCAUGUGGCCCUCAAGUCUUAAAUAUGCACCUACAUGAUAGAUAUUCUGACUAGGACAGGUCACACAGGCAUGUCAUUACCAGUAAAUAGUUAAAUGAAUCAUGAUAAGGCUGCACAGUUGAAUAGAGUUGGACAUAUAGUAGCUGCUUUUUGGCUAAGUAAUAUCACCUCAGAAAGCAUAUCUAAAGCAAUAGUAUGCUUCUUUAAAGGAUUUGCUAGUGUUUUCACAUUAUUUCAAAGAGGAUUAAGUAAGAUGAUGAAAGAUAUGGAUACACAUGUGCCUACUUCUUCCUUCCCAAAGUUGUCGCACAUGGAUUCUAUAUUGUAGCAUUUUGGAAGAAAUGGGUGUGUCAGUUAAAAGGGCACACUAACAUUCCAUAGUCAGGGUCUCUCAAAAGACCAGAUCAGAACAGAUGCAGAAAUACUUCUCUAAUUCUUUCUGUAGCAAUAGGCAGUAGACCUUCCCUUCCCAGCUUAUCUGAUUCAGACCUUGGCUUUCUAUUUGUUUCAUUUCCAGUAACUUUGUUCUAUU